rnacentral:misc_RNA from 1 species
AGUCGUAACAAGGUAACCGUAGGUGAACCUGCGGUUGGAUCAUUAGUGGAAAGUCUUUGGAGGUAUACUGUGCCACGCGUUAAACCGUGCCACAGCCUCCAGAGUUAACUACCCAAACCAUGUGAACAUUACCUGUAUUUAGGCCUGCCCCCUCCAUUUGAUGGGCGCCAGUCAAACCAUGGAUUCGUUCAUGUUUCCUGGCAACCAGCAAUGGGGGCAGUUACCUAACCAACUAUGAAAACACAUUGUAUCUUUGUAAUUCUUAGUCUCCAACAAAUAAAUUUGUUGUAAAUUAAAUUUUAAAACAACUUUUGACAAUGGAUCUCUUGGCUCUU